rnacentral:lncRNA from 1 species
CGCUCAUUUUUGAGAUGCCGGGAACCAGGCUGGUGUUUUCGUAACUCCCCAGAAAAAGCUGAUAAUUAGUUUUGGUGGCUUUCAGCUGUGACCCCCAGCAACACAGAUAACCAGUCAGAGGCCAGAGUAGUUCUCCCUGGGACUCCUGCCCCUCCCAGGGGCUCAGGAGGGCUCGUUAAGUUGGUGAGUGCUGCUGAGGGAGCAGGAGCUGGACAUCACUCUGCCAUGAACUCUACAGUUGCAUGUGGUGUGCUCCUGCUGCUCGGCUCGCUGCUCUGAGCUCUCUGUGUACUUGUGAAGGGUUCGGUGCCUUCAACCUCUUGAAGGAAAAAGAGCAACAGCCAUGGAGGAGAUGGGAGCCUUGCUGCUGCUCCAGUCCUCGUGUAAUGCCCAGAGCAAGACCUCAGAGAUCCUGGGGAAGGCUGAGCUCUUAUAUCUUCCAUCUUCUCCUGCCAUACCAGAAAUGUGAGCAUCUAACUAUUUAUUCCUGGAACAUGUAACAACUCUUCUAGACAGAACGCUUAAAACAACAGCUUUGCACAAUAAAAUAGGACCAUAAGGUACUGUUACUGAAACA